rnacentral:rRNA from 1 species
UAGGGAAUCUUCGGCAAUGGGGGGAACCCUGACCGAGCAACGCCGCGUGAGUGAAGAAGGUUUUCGGAUCGUAAAGCUCUGUUGUUAAGGAAGAACGAGUGUGAGAAUGGAAAGUUCAUACUGUGACGGUACUUAACCAGAAAGGGACGGCUAACUACGUGCCAGCAGCCGCGGUAAUACGUAGGUCCCGAGCGUUGUCCGGAUUUAUUGGGCGUAAAGCGAGCGCAGGCGGUUAGAAAAGUCUGAAGUGAAAGGCAGUGGCUCAACCAUUGUAGGCUUUGGAAACUGUUUAACUUGAGUGCAGAAGGGGAGAGUGGAAUUCCAUGUGUAGCGGUGAAAUGCGUAGAUAUAUGGAGGAACACCGGUGGCGAAAGCGGCUCUCUGGUCUGUAACUGACACUGAGGCUCGAAAGCGUGGGGAGCGAACAGGAUUAGAUACCCUGGUAGUCCACGCCGUAAACGAUGAGUGCUAGGUGUUAGGUCCUUUCCGGGACUUAGUGCCGCAGCUAACGCAUUAAGCACUCCGCCUGGGGAGUACGACCGCAAGGUUG